UCACUUGUAACUAUCUAUAAAUAGCCCCAUACCCCUUUCCUCCAUUCUGCAUUAAACAAAUCUAAGCUUUUGCAUAAUAACAUCUCCAUCGUAAAACAGCCUCACUCUGAGAGUCCUUUAGAAAAAAAAUAAAGUCGUAAGAGAAAUGGCAAAAUUCCCAGUGAUCAACUUGGAGAAACUGAAUGGUGAGAGAGCAGCAACCAUGGAUCUAAUCAAAGAUGCCUGUGAGAAUUGGGGCUUCUUUGAGGUGUUGAACCAUGGGAUUCCCUAUGAAUUUAUGGACAGAGUGGAAAGCUUGAAUACACGAAGGUGAUGAAAGAAUUUGCAUUGAAAUUGGAGAAACUAGCAGAGGAGCUGCUGUAGUUUCUCCAAUUUCAAUGCAAAUUCUUUCAUCACCUUCCUGUAUUCAUCGGUUAGAUCUGGGAUUUCAGCCAUGUUGGAUUCACCUCUGUUUCUCUAGCAGUAGCUGCUACGGAGUGUUUUUGUAUCAUUUUGUUAUAGUUUCUUUUAUAUAUAUAAUCUAAUUGUUUAUAAUAAUGAGUUAAUGGGCAACUUUAUUGUGUGAUCGAACAGUCGUUGGCAUUGGCACACGCUGGUGUUGAAGACGGGAAGGUAGUAUUUGUUCCAUGGGUGGAAACAGAUUUCAGAACUGGUGACGCUCCAUGGUGGUCUUAAAUAUCUCCACAACCAUUGGCUCAGGCUGUUUGUUGGGUUAUAUUUGAGAUUUAUUCAGCCAGUAUGUUUUGUAGCGUUGCUAAACAUCCUGUGCCGUACAGUUAUCCUCUGUAUACUGCAGUUUGUAGGUUGCAAGACCCUAUUUCCAAAUUAGAAAUGGUACUAGCAUUCUUGUCA